UCAGUCAGUCGUACUCUAUUCACUGAAAGUGAAGGAUCUCUUUCUGCUUUUCAUGUCUUCACUCUUCAGACAUUUUAGUUUGUUGAUCUUAACCUAAUUGAAUUGUUGUGUAUGGAGAGACCGUGCUGAACGCCUUCGUCCUCAACUCGGCCAAGUCGUUCAACUUGGCCGAGUUUCAAAACAUGAGUUUAAGCUGACCAAUGAGGCACUCAGCGUCAGUGACCAUUACCUUGUGGAGGUGGAGCUGAAGACCAGAGCAGGAAGACAGAAAAGGAUGGCUGUGCCUGACGGGACAGAGAUGACAUCUGGGGAAGAACAGUCUCAGAAGAAAGGGAAACAGAAGAAGACCAAACCGGCAGGGUCACCAAAGAUGGCAGCUAAGCCAGCAGGAGCACAGAAGAAGAAAAAAGAAGAGCCAGACAGACAACAGAAGAAGAAGAAUGUGGGAACAAAAAGGAAGCGAGGGCAGGCAUCCAACACACCAACCAAGAGAAGACGUCAGGAUGUUCAAUGUUCAUGAUCUUACUAUUACAUUUAAAAAGUAGAGUUACUGUAGUUAGAGCUGAUAGUAUUAAACCGUCAAAGCUUCUCUUUGUUUGACUUACUAGAGAUUUAACUGAAAACCACAUCAGGUGGUUCUCUGUGAUACCAAAACAUCCUCAGUUAGUCUUUUGUAUUCAUUGUACUAGAUAAAUCAGGAUGAAUGUACCGUAGAAAUGAAAAACAAUUUACAGAUAUUAGUAUUGCAUGGAAUUCAUUUUCCGUGGUAAACCUGAAUUUAGAUAGGUAGAUAUUUGAAGUCAUAAUAAAAUAUUAUUCGUGCACAGAAACAA